UGGGGAAUAUUGCACAAUGGGGGAAACCCUGAUGCAGCGACGCCGCGUGAACGAAGAAGGUAUUCGUAUCGUAAAGUUCUGUCCUAUGGGAAGAUAAUGACAGUACCAUAGAAGAAAGCUCCGGCUAAAUACGUGCCAGCAGCCGCGGUAAUACGUAUGGAGCGAGCGUUGUCCGGAAUUAUUGGGCGUAAAGGGUACGCAGGCGGUUUAAUAAGUCGAAUGUUAAAGAUCGGGGCUCAACCCCGUAAAGCAUUGGAAACUGAUAAACUUGAGUAGAGGAGAGAAAAGUGGAAUUCCUAGUGUAGUGGUGAGAUACGUAGAUAUUAGGAGGAAUACCAGUAGCGAAGGCGACUUUCUGGACACAAACUGACGCUGAGGUACGAAAGCGUGGGGAGCAAACAGG
rnacentral:rRNA from 1 species